rnacentral:rRNA from 1 species
AGAGUUUGAUCCUGGCUCAGAUUGAACGCUGGCGGCAGGCUUAACACAUGCAAGUCGAACGGUAACAGGGAGGAGCUUGCUUCUUUGCUGACGAGUGGCGGACGGGUGAGUAAUGCUUGGGAAUCUGGCUUAUGGAGGGGGAUAACUACGGGAAACUGUAGCUAAUACCGCGUAAUAUCUUCGGAUUAAAGGGUGGGACUUUCGGGCCACCUGCCAUAAGAUGAGCCCAAGUGGGAUUAGGUAGUUGGUGGGGUAAAGGCCUACCAAGCCGACGAUCUCUAGCUGGUCUGAGAGGAUGACCAGCCACACUGGAACUGAGACACGGUCCAGACUCCUACGGGAGGCAGCAGUGGGGAAUAUUGCACAAUGGGGGGAACCCUGAUGCAGCCAUGCCGCGUGAAUGAAGAAGGCCUUCGGGUUGUAAAGUUCUUUCGGUGAUGAGGAAGGUGUUUGUUUUAAUAGAGCAAGCAAUUGACGUUAGUCACAGAAGAAGCACCGGCUAACUCCGUGCCAGCAGCCGCGGUAAUACGGAGGGUGCGAGCGUUAAUCGGAAUGACUGGGCGUAAAGGGCACGCAGGCGGUGACUUAAGUGAGAUGUGAAAGCCCCGAGCUUAACUUGGGAAUUGCAUUUCAUACUGGGUCGCUAGAGUAUUUUAGGGAGGGGUAGAAUUCCACGUGUAGCGGUGAAAUGCGUAGAGAUGUGGAGGAAUACCGAAGGCGAAGGCAGCCCCUUGGGAAUAUACUGACGCUCAUGUGCGAAAGCGUGGGGAGCAAACAGGAUUAGAUACCCUGGUAGUCCACGCUGUAAACGCUGUCGAUUUGGGGGUUGGGCUUUAAGCUUGGUGCCCGUAGCU